GGAAUAUUGGACAAUGGGCGCAAGCCUGAUCCAGCCAUGCCGCGUGCAGGAUGACGGUCCUAUGGAUUGUAAACUGCUUUUAUACAGGAAGAAACAGUUCUACGUGUAGAACCUUGACGGUACUGUAAGAAUAAGGAUCGGCUAACUCCGUGCCAGCAGCCGCGGUAAUACGGAGGAUCCAAGCGUUAUCCGGAAUCAUUGGGUUUAAAGGGUCCGUAGGCGGUUUAAUAAGUCAGUGGUGAAAGCCCAUCGCUCAACGGUGGAACGGCCAUUGAUACUGUUAGACUUGAAUUAUUAGGAAGUAACUAGAAUAUGUAGUGUAGCGGUGAAAUGCUUAGAGAUUACAUGGAAUACCAAUUGCGAAGGCAGGUUACUACUAAUUGAUUGACGCUGAUGGACGAAAGCGUGGGUAGCGAACAGGAUUAGAUACCCCUG
rnacentral:rRNA from 1 species